AGCAAGUGUAUGAAUAUCUUAAUCUUGGGGGCCAGUUCGAAUGCCGAGUCGAGCGGACCAGUCGGUGGACUUUAAAUGAGAAGCAUCGUUGCUCGCUCGACCGACUCUACCGACUCUGGACAAGUUUUAUUCCCGCGAUAUUGCAAACGCCUACUACUCGUUAUUUCUAACUACCUAUCCGUGCGACCGUUUAAACGCUUUGAGAUGCGCGACAGAGGAGGUCUCUCUUGGAUCCAGGAAAUUUCAACGAAAUUUGUGAAAGUUGCCAAAGAGACG
rnacentral:misc_RNA from 1 species